rnacentral:rRNA from 1 species
UUGACCUCAAAUCGGGUGAGACUACCCGCUGAACUUAAGCAUAUCAAUAAGCGGAGGAAAAGAAACUAACAAGGAUUCCCCUAGUAACUGCGAGUGAAGCGGGAAAAGCUCAAAUUUAAAAUCUGGCGGUCCUUGGCUGUCCGAGUUGUAAUUUAGAGAAGCGUCUUCCGCGCCGGACCGUGCACAAGUCUCCUGGAAUGGAGCGUCGUAGAGGGUGAGAAUCCCGUCUUUGGCAUGGAUGCCCGGUGCUUCUGUGAUGCGCUCUCAAAGAGUCGAGUUGUUUGGGAAUGCAGCUCAAAAUGGGUGGUGAACUCCAUCUAAAGCUAAAUAUUGGCGAGAGACCGAUAGCGAACAAGUACCGUGAGGGAAAGAUGAAAAGCACUUUGGAAAGAGAGUGAAACAGUACGUGAAAUUGUUGAAAGGGAAACGCUUGAAGUCAGUCGCGUCGUCCGAGACUCAGCCUUGCCUCGGCUUGGUGUACUUCUCGGCUCGACGGGUCAGCAUGAAUUUUGCACCUCGGAUAAUGGCAAGGGAAAGGUGGCACCUUUGCGGGUGUGUUAUAGUCUCGUGUCGCAUGCGAGGGGUGAGAUUGAGGAACUCAGCG